ensembl:lncRNA
GUUUAAUAUACAAAUGGUGUAAUAAAAAAAAUCAGAAAUUGCCAUGUUAAAAAUAAUAUUUGGUACAAAAUAUCAGAUUUUUGCUACUACCAAAAAAGAAAAAAAAAUGAAGAAAAACAGACACAAAAUAACCAUCCUAAACAUGCUAUUAGGUACAACAUACCACAUUUAUUGAUACUAUAUAAAAACUGACAUAAAUGUUUUUUUAAUGUCAUAUAAAAAUUUAAAUAAUUAAUAAUUAUUAUAAUAAUUAUUAAAAAAUAAUUAUUCAAUAAUGCUUUAUAUAUUACUGUACAUUUAUAUGCUAGAAUAUUGAUCUGCAACAACAGUGAUGAUAUAUAUAUACAAACAUUUUUGCAUGGAUAAGUGGAUAUAAAUGCAUAAACUUUCUGUGCAGUCUUAAACUAAUCAGUAUUGGUUUCAGUACAUGUUCUUACAGUAAGACUAAAACUUAUAGUAUGUUCACUGAACUCAUUUAUUAUUAUUAUUUUUUUUUUUUCUAUGGUGUGACCCCUUUAAGAGCCCGAGUCUAAGAUGAAUGUGAAAGCAGCAGAAUGGUUGGUCCUGUUCCAUCACAACACAAACGCCUCCGUCCCUUUACACUCAGUGAUUGUGGGGUGAUACAUCUUUCCGGACACGAAAACAAUGCCUGCGAGCUCUAAUUCUUCACGACAGCACUGUAAAUGGGCCACAGAUAUGAUGCCUGCUGUUAUCGAAAACAUUUGCAUUUAGAUGGGAAAAAAGUAUGAGAUUAAAGUGCUUUGCCACCCAAAUGAUUGUCUGUGGACGAGGUGGUCUGGGGUGACCACGUCUCCGCAGUUCCCAGGGAAUCAUGGGUCCUGUGGGUGUAGAAAUAGAGAUGAGAAACGAAAUGUGAAGCUGGGAACUUCUGAGGGGCUUACGGAGGAAUCGAUUCUUCACCUCAAAAGGAGAAAAUGCAAUCUACAACCCUGUGAGAAUCUGAAGGAUUCACCUUUACCCUUCACCGCUGGAAAAGUCUUUAUGCACUGAUCUCAGGUCAGAGUAUUGAAACGCUGAUCUUUGUUUAACCUGUGCAUGUAAUUAAAGUACUUGAGCCAGUCAAACUGAGCAUCCUAAUGAGGAAUGUGACUAGAACUGUGAUUUCCUAACUGUGGGAACAAAUAUAUGCUUGUUUUAGUUUUUGCUUUUGGCCUAAGAUUAUUUGGGAACAAAAUAACACAUUUAUUGUCACUAUAGA